CCACUUGCGCAGCACUCUGUGAACACCUAUCUAACAGUUGUCCUUCGGGACUAUGAACAUAAACGCGCUCGUAAUAAGCGGAUCGGACCAGGGGGCGGUACCCUGCGGCUCCACCAAACAUCCUUCAUUUGGGGAUCAUGGGGCCGAAAUAGGAUCGACGAACGUCUAAAGGGGUUAGCUUUGUUUCGGUGAGACACCACCGUUAUCGGUUCAAUUAAGCUAGUUGCAAAUGACAACAAAGCACCGAUGGCUCUGGCUGCUUAAGCAGUCCGAAAUAUCGAAACUUUAAGUCCUUAGGCUCGCAGCCUCUGGCGGGGUUCGCAGGUACCUGGCAACAGAAACCUGCACU
rnacentral:tmRNA from 1 species